UGUCUUACUGCCCAAGAUUAAAUUGAAUUGAGAAUGUAGCUCGCACAAUAUAAACUCUUGCACUUAUCGCAUAGUAUUCAUUCAUUAAACAAACCAGUAAGAAAAUUAGUAUGUCCAUAAGUGAACAGGCUUCCUUCAUUUAUCAUUGGAUAAGCUUUCUAACUCCCCAUUCAACAUUUGGCAUGCCAAAUAAAAAUUUUCAUUUCCAUUUUCGCUUCAUAUAUGUCUGUGAUAGUUAUAUUCUAUAUUUGACCAUGUAACGCACAAAAGCAUGUCACUUGGACAUAAGCCUUGUGUUCUGAACUGUUUGUAUUGCUUGAACAAAAUCAUCAUUACUUCAAUUAUUUUUAAUCUAAGUUUUUG
rnacentral:misc_RNA from 1 species